GCUUAACCGGAGAAGUGCAUCGGAAACUGGGAGACUUGAGUGCAGAAGAGGACAGUGGAACUCCAUGUGUAGCGGUGGAAUGCGUAGAUAUAUGGAAGAACACCAGUGGCGAAGGCGGCUGUCUAGUCUGUAACUGACGCUGAGGCUCGAAAGCAUGGGUAGCGAACAGGAUUAGAUACCCUGGUAGUCCAUGCCGUAAACGAUGAGUGCUAAGUGUUGGAGGGUUUCCGCCCUUCAGUGCUGCAGCUAACGCAUUAAGCACUCCGCCUGGGGAGUACGACCGCAAGGUUGAAACUCAAAGGAAUUGACGGGGGCCCGCACAAGCGGUGGAGCAUGUGGUUUAAUUCGAAGCUACGCGAAGAACCUUACCAGGUCUUGACAUCUUCUGCCAAUCUUAGAGAUAAGACGUUCCCUUCGGGGACAGAAUGACAGGUGGUGCAUGGUUGUCGUCAGCUCGUGUCGUGAGAUGUUGGGUUAAGUCCCGCAACGAGCGCAACCCUUAUUAUCAGUUGCCAGCAUUCAGUUGGGCACUCUGGUGAGACUGCCGGUGACAAACCGGAGGAAGGUGGGGAUGACGUCAAAUCAUCAUGCCCCUUAUGACCUGGGCUACACACGUGCUACAAUGGACGGUGCAACG
rnacentral:rRNA from 1 species